rnacentral:rRNA from 1 species
UACGUAGGGGCCAAGCGUUGUCCGGAUUUAUUGGGCGUAAAGAGCUCGUAGGCGGUUCGGCAAGUCAGCUGUGAAAUCUCCACGCUCAACGUGGAGGGGUCAGCUGAUACUGCUGUGACUCGAGUCCGGUAGGGGAGUGUGGAAUUCCCGGUGUAGCGGUGAAAUGCGCAGAGAUCAUGAGGAAGACCAGUGGCGAAGGCGGGUCUCUGGACAGUUCCUGACGCUGAGGCACGAAGGCCAGGGGAGCAAACGGG